ACCAAUGCAAGGGGGGCUGCUGGUCUUCAUUUAUUUUUUAUUUUUUAUAAUUUUCCUAUUUAAACAUCGCAUUUCUCUUUGUUCACCUCAACUUCUAAUUCAAAUUUUCACAAUUUCUAAGAAAACCACACUAUCUUUCCAAACUACCCCUAAAUACACACGCAGCAAAAAAAGUAAAAAAUAAAAAACUCAUCAACCUCACACCCCGCUAUCUUGCCCCUCACCACUCUAAGUUUACCUCAACUUCACAUUACUUAAAGAUAUAAAAUUACUGUUGUCAAAUGUGUAGCAACAUUAUUUUAUUAUUAUUAUUAUUAAAACUAGCCUCUUGACACAUGCUCACGCAUGUGUCAAUUGGUUUUCUUUUUCUUUUUUAUUUUAUUUUUAGAAUUAAUAAAAGAUAACAGGGUAGUUAUAUUCCAUAAAAGUAGGACCUAUU
rnacentral:lncRNA from 1 species